rnacentral:lncRNA from 1 species
AAACACUGUGGAAAAAUCUGGAUGUUCUGCUCCUAAUGCCAUAUUAUUCCUUGCUGGCGAAGAGAAAGGAGAAGAGGCCUGCAGAGGGGGAAUGUCACUUGGAACAUCAGCAUCUGUCAUCAUGGCACUUCCAGAAGCUCAGACAUGAAAUGGUUUGAAUUUGGACAGGAGAGGAGAGUCUCUGGGUGCUGAGGGAAGUCAAAUUCAAAUUAUGGAAAUGCAUGUGGAGGUGGACUUGCAGAAUCAUGUAAAAAUCUCUGAAAUCUAGAAUACUGAUGAUUCCUUCUACUGGUACCUGCUUACUAUUUGAAACCACAUCAGCUCCAGAAGGCAGCUGGCUGAGGAAAUAUAACUCGCUGAAGGCGGUUACCUUUGUUCGAAGCCAACUGAGACAGCACCAGCACUCAGUAAUUACAGUCGUACAGUUUCCAGGAGACUCCUUCUUCACCAGACCUGUCGUCUCGUGUCCCCAUUUGUAACACUGUUCAUUAUAUCCAACCUGCUGCCGUCACUCUGGAGCUUUCAAAAGGACAGCCAUUUUUAGACGUGAUCCAUAGUGUAGCUUCAGGGAAGGCCCAUCCUUACAGUUUCAAACCCAGAUUGGUGCAUGCGCCACAAUGCAGGAGCAAGUUGUCAUAGGUCUGAGGGCAAGGCAAGUGGGAGGUGGUUGGGUGGAGAAAGGGCAACAGCCUCUGUAGGAACUCACAAAUACAAAUGUGAUUUCUGGAGUCAUAUGCACAACUGGACCAGCCCAGUUAUAUGGGAGAAAAGCUCUGUAUCCUGGAAUGGGCAGCUAUGACUUCAGUGGAAUGCAGGCAUAACUGCAUUCAGUGAAUUCAGUGAUUCAGUGAAAUGGGAGCUUGUUGAAGAAUACUUGGUGCUCUCUGUAAAAGGUGGAAGUGGUGUUGGCCAAUGGUGCAAAACACUCUGGGGGGUGGGCAGCUGGUUUCCUUCCACUUUCAUUAAGGACAUCUGCACUUCAGUGUGCACCGUCUCCUAAUUCUGUUGCCACCUUGUUUUGUACACAAGAACAGGUAUGUUCCACCAACGAUGCUACUUUUUAAACUGUUAAAUGAUGGUAUUCGUCCUUCUCCUUCUCACAACCAGUAGAAGUUGCAUUUCCUGUAAGCUCCAAACAUGCAUUUUUGCAUUGUCUUCUACUUAGCAUUAUCCUAAACUCUUCUCGAAAGCUGAAAUUGGUGAAGCACUCUGAUACUCAUAAUAUUAGUUCCUCUGAGUAGAAGACAGCAUUACUUAACCACUGGCUUGUUUUGACAGUUCUUGAUGGAUUGGUUCAAGUACUCACGUCAAGACUUUGUUAUGUAAAUGUCUUUUCAGCUCUGGAGGAGGUAUUUAGGUGAUGGCUGGAUUUCAUGUUUGUUUACUUGGCUUGGAAAAGGCAUGUGGAAAAGACAAAUACCUUCUUGAUCAUGCAAGACGAUCUUAUGUUUCUAUGUUUAUAAAUGACCAGAGAAGGAAAUAGAGACAUCUAAAUGGUGAUGGCAUUAGACAAGAGCUAGCCAAAAAAUGUUUAAUAAAAA